GUCCUGGCCCUAAACGAUGAAUGCUUGGUGUGGCGGGUAUCGAUCCCUGCCGUGCCGAAGCUAACGCAUUAAGCAUUCCGCCUGGGGAGUACGGUCGCAAGGCUGAAAACUCAAAGGAAUUGACGGGGGCCCCGCACAAGCGGUGGAGCAUGUGGUUUAAUUCGACGCAACGCGAAGAACCUUACCCAGGCUCGAACGGCAGAUGACAUCUUACGAAAGUAGGCUCCCGCAAGGGCAUCUGUCGAGGUGCUGCAUGGCUGUCGU
rnacentral:rRNA from 1 species